CCCUGCCAGCGAAGGAGCUGCUAACUUGUACAGAAACAGGCACUCAACGCGAGGGCACUGGAAGGGAAAUAACGCCGGCGGUUGAAGUCCCUUCUGCAGGUGAUGGGGAGACGCAAACUUGUAUAGACACUCUGCGGGAGGACACUGGGAUG